GUGUCAGCAGCCGCGGUAAUACGUAGGUGGCAAGCGUUGUCCGGAAUUAUUGGGCGUAAAGCGCGCGCAGGCGGUCCUUUAAGUCUGAUGUGAAAGCCCACGGCUCAACCGUGGAGGGUCAUUGGAAACUGGGGGACUUGAGUGCAGAAGAGGAGAGUGGAAUUCCACGUGUAGCGGUGAAAUGCGUAGAGAUGUGGAGGAACAACAGUGGCGAAGGCGACUCUCUGGUCUGUAACUGACGCUGAGGCGCGAAAGCGUGGGGAGCGAACAGGAUUAGAUACCCUGGUAGUCCACGCCGUAAACGAUGAGUGCUAAGUGUUGGAGGGUUUCCGCCCUUUAGUGCUGCAGCAAACGCAUUAAGCACUCCGCCUGGGGAGUACGGCCGCAAGGCUGAAACUUAAAGGAAUUGACGGGG
rnacentral:rRNA from 1 species